rnacentral:tRNA from 1 species
GGGCCCAUAGCUCAACGGUUAGAGCAGCCGGCUCAUAACCGGUAGGUUCCGGGUUCGAAUCCUGGUGGGCCCACCA